AUACGUAGGUGACAAGCGUUAUCCGGAUUUACUGGGCGUAAAGGGCGUGUAGGCGGUCUUGCAAGUCAGAAGUGAAAUUCCUGAGCUCAACUCGGGCGCUGCUUCUGAAACUGCAGGACUUGAGUGCUGGAGGGGAUAGCGGAAUUCCUAGUGGAGCGGUAAAAUGCGCAGAUAUUAGGGAGAACACCGGUGGCGAAGGCGGCUAUCUGGACAGUAACUGACGCUGAGGCGCGAAAGCGGGGGGAGCAAACAGGAUUAGUUACCCUGGUAGUCCACGCUGUAAACGAUGAAUACUAGGUGUAGGGGGUAUCGACUCCCUCUGUGCCGCAGUUAACACAAUAAGUAUUCCGCCUGGGGAGUACGGCCGCAAGGUUGAAACUCAAAGGAAUUGACGGGG
rnacentral:rRNA from 1 species